UACGUAGGGGGCGAGCGUUGUCCGGAUUCAUUGGGCGUAAAGAGCUCGUAGGCGGCUCAGUAAGUCGGGUGUGAAACCCUCAGGCUCAACCUGGGGACGCCACUCGAUACUGCUGUGGCUAGAGUCCAGUAGGGGAGUGUGGAAUUCCCGGUGUAGCGGUGAAAUGCGCAGAUAUCGGGAGGAACACCAGCGGCGAAGGCGGCACUCUGGGCUGGUACUGACGCUGAGGAGCGAAAGCGUGGGUAGCAAACAGG
rnacentral:rRNA from 1 species